rnacentral:tRNA from 1 species
GCCGGAAUAGCUCAGUUGGGAGAGCGUUAGACUAAAGAUGUUUACGCAAUAGUCAUCUAAAGGCCCCCGGUUCAAUCCCGGGUUCCGGCA